UUGGGACUAAGGAUUCAGUUUGCUUUUUUUGUCUUAGAAGUCGGUCCUUAAUGAAUCAUCUCAGCAGAGGUGGAAAGAGCUGGACUUCAGCAGAGCCAAGAUUGAGCACAGAAGGUGGCAAGAGGAGCGGAGGCAGCUGAAGAGGGAGCAGCAGCAAGAGGCAGAUGGCACACGACACCAGCUGCUCAGGGACAGCCAGAGGUGAUGCUGGGAACUGACUGCUUUUUGUGCUAAGUGUUGGAAGGCAGCGAUUGCGUCAGAGAACGUUGCAAGAGCUGGAGAAACAGCUGGAGCACAAAGAGAGAGCUUUGCAGCACAUGGCACUGCUCCAGGCUGCUGGGGCUGAGAGGAGCAGGAAGGAAUCCUUCUUUCGAGAGGAGGAGGAGAGGAAGGCAAGGCAGAGGCUUCAGUUCUUAAAGACACAGCGUUUGCAGAGAGAGGAGUUGCAGGCAGAAAGCAAUGAAAGGAGCUGUGAACAAGAGAAAGAAAGGCUGGAGUUCCUGAGGAGCAGAAUGCAGUCACGGCAGGAAGUACUGGAACAAGAAUCCCAGAAGCAGGACAAACAACAAAACCAGCACCAGGCUGCCAAAGCGAGAGUGUUCCAGAGGAGAGAGAGUUCUUAUUUGAGGAAGGAAAAAGAAAGCCAGAAACUCCAUGCUCUCCAGCAGUACCUCAGGGAACAGAACCUUCUGCUGCUCCGGGCAUCCCUGCUCGUGUAAGGAAGCUGCACAGUGGGUGAGCAGGGCCUGGAGUUCACAGACCUGUUGAGACCUGUCAGGUGUGAGUCACUGUGCCAGAGCAGAGCUGUGACAGGUGGCAUUAGGAUUCCUGAGGAUCUCUUCAAUCUCCCUUUCACUGCAGCCAGAGUGCACUUCCACUGCUCUGUCCUUUACCUGCCUUUAUUCCUGGGGUCACCAGCUUCCCCCUCCACUGAGAGGGAGCAGCAGGGCACAUCUAGAGGCAUUUUUCUGCAUCAGAAAGGAGGUGGUUUCUAGUGCAUUGCACUAUGGUGAGUGGAGGUGCCAAAGGAGAAGAGGAGGAGAUUAAACGUGUCACAUCCUGAAGUGCUUCCCCUUCCUCAUAUCAUCUGAGGUACAAAAUUCCCUGUGGCACAGCCAUGUGCUGAUCAGCUCCAGAAAUUUCAGAUGGGUAUUUAAGAAAGGAGAAUGGAUAUGGCACAAUUUAUUUGCUGAAACAGUCAGAGCUAUAUGGAAAUAUCUUUAUUUUACACAGAAUUAUGCUAAAAUGAAUACAAUACAUGUGAUACCUUGUUUCAAGUAAUGCCUCGAGCCAAUGAGGUACAAAAUUUAAAUUCAGCCUGUUUUUUGUGUGUACACUUAGAAACAUGAUACACAUUUUCUGUCAUGUUAUAAAACUUUAUGCCUCUUACUAGAAUACAGCAGCAGUGAUAAUGGAAGUUUCUUUAAAAAAAAAAAAGAAAAGAAGAAGUAAAAUUAAGAAAACUUGUAAAAGGGAGCUCCUUUGAAAUCCUGCCAAAUCUUCUGAAUAGCCAGCAGUUUCCUAGCAGUGUCAGACUGCAUUCCUCCAGGGAUAAUGGAGAGGCUAUGGCUUCAGCUUUUCCCUAAAAAGACAAAGUUAAGUCUCUCAUCUAGAUGUUUACAAACUACUCUGAGACCUUAAUAGCUAAAACAGGUAUUUUUAAAUUUAAGGAUUCAUAAUGUGCAUAAGUAAUCCUCAGAUUUAUGCUUAAAAGAAAAAAAAUAGGGAAAAGGAAAGAUGAACUUAAAUAGAAGGUGAAGGCUUUAACAAACAAAAUGUCAAAGUUAAGGUCUGGAAAAGUUGUAACUUGCUUCAGAUUAUGGAGGCAUAGUUUUGCAUUUUAGACAUGAAAUCCCAUAAUUUGGAACAGUUUACACUCUGUUGAGUGUCUGGAAAAGCUGGCUGGAAUUUGCUCAGCAAGAACAUGGAUGGUUGUGCCUGGCACACACCCUACUGAAGGAACAUGGGUGCUGGUGGCACAUGGAGGUUUUCUUUCAGUAAUGUUUGGGGGUUGCUUGCUUCUCUUCUUGUUUGAGUUCUCUUUUACAUAAAAUCGUGUGCUAGUUAGGACAAUACUCUGCCUGCUUAUGACUCUAACUAGACUUAAAGAAACAAGCCUGAAAACUUACAGGGUGUUAAACUCUACUCCUGCUUUUAUCCUUAUGCACUUGGAAAUGGAAUAUGCAGUGAUUAAAGGAAAGUACAUGAAAUAUACUGAGUUGAAUCUAAAUUUAUUUUUCAGACUUCAUUUAUAUGAUGUUCAUCAUUACUUUACAAUCACUAUAAAACAGCAGAUUGCUUUUGCACUUUCUCCUCAGUGCUUAGCCACCUGAGAACAGACCACUGCAGAGACCCUGCUCCACUGCUGUUUCACACAGGGUAUGUCUGGGAAGAUAUUCAGUACCACACUAUUUCCAACUAUUCAUGGACUGUAUUUCUCACUGUGAAAACGCAGCCAUAAAGUCAUUUUAAUACUGCUAUUAAAAUAACUGACUGUAAAUGCCACGUGUAAUCCAGUUCUGCUGGCUUUAUUUGAUUUUAAGCAUUCUUAAUAUGGUUUUGAUC